rnacentral:lncRNA from 1 species
GUAUUCAAGUAAGCUUAGAGCUGAAAUUCUUGAACAAUCUUAAGACAUGUUAUCCUUUAGUUGUCAGCAAGACAGAUGAAUUACAGUCAAAGCAACAUAUCUGUCAAAACACCAACUACCGCUGGCUAUAGGAGGCAAAGGUGUAGGGAUGCCGAAAUUCUUUGGGUUAAUAUACUAUUUGGUAAUUAACUUUUGACUUCAAUGUUUACUUUGGUACUUUAAUGGUUUUUACAAUUUGAUACUUGAGUUUAGUUUCAAGGUUCCAUUUAGUACUUACGGGUUAUUUUUGUCUCAAUUAAGUACUUAAUACAUGUGUCAAACAUUUAUUAGGUCACAUGAUGUUGUUUGAUAUGAGUAUCAAAUUAAAUAUUAGAACCAAACUCAACUACCAAAUGAUAUAUUAAUCAAAUUCAAGGGAAACAUGCGUUUAAUAUUGUAGUUUGCCUAUACAUCCAAGCUGUUGCUGUCCUGGAUGCUUUGCUCACAUUCAAUGGAAACUGAUGUUGCUUUAUAUGCAGGCUUCUUCGGGUGAAAUGUUCGCUUUAGAUGUCGAAUUAUUUGUCAGGUAUGUAAUCUGAUUUGUCAAAUCAUUUCUAGUAGAUCAUUUCGGUUUAGGUUAAACAAGUUGAUUUUUUACCAGCAAAUGGGAUUUGAGUUCAAAUUUGA